rnacentral:rRNA from 1 species
UUAAGCGACUAAGCGUACACGGUGGAUGCCCUGGCAGUCAGAGGCGAUGAAGGGCGUGCUAAUCUGCGAUAAGCGCCGGUAAGGUGAUAUGAACCGUUAUAACCGGCGAUACCCGAAUGGGGAAACCCAGUGUGAUUCGUCACACUAUCAUUAACUGAAUCCAUAGGUUAAUGAGGCGAACCGGGGGAACUGAAACAUCUAAGUACCCCGAGGAAAAGAAAUCAACCGAGAUUCCCCCAGUAGCGGCGAGCGAACGGGGAGGAGCCCAGAGCCUGAAUCAGCAUGUGUGUUAGUGGAAGCGUCUGGAAAGGCGCGCGAUACAGGGUGACAGCCCCGUACACAAAAGCGCAUGUGUUGUGAGCUCGAUGAGUAGGGCGGGACACGUGGUAUCCUGUCUGAAUAUGGGGGGACCAUCCUCCAAGGCUAAAUACUCCUGACUGACCGAUAGUGAACCAGUACCGUGAGGGAAAGGCGAAAAGAACCCCGGCGAGGGGAGUGAAAAAGAACCUGAAACCGUGUACGUACAAGCAGUGGGAGCACAGGUUUACCUGUGUGACUGCGUACCUUUUGUAUAAUGGGUCAGCGACUUAUAUUCUGUAGCAAGGUUAACCGUAUAGGGGAGCCGUAGGGAAACCGAGUCUUAACCGGGCGUUAAGUUGCAGGGUAUAGACCCGAAACCCGGUGAUCUAGCCAUGGGCAGGUUGAAGGUUGGGUAACACUAACUGGAGGACCGAACCGACUAAUGUUGAAAAAUUAGCGGAUGACCUGUGGCUGGGGGUGAAAGGCCAAUCAAACCGGGAGAUAGCUGGUUCUCCCCGAAAGCUAUUUAGGUAGCGCCUCGUGAAUUCAUCUCCGGGGGUAGAGCACUGUUUCGGCUAGGGGGCCAUCCCGGCUUACCAACCCGAUGCAAACUGCGAAUACCGGAGAAUGUUAUCACGGGAGACACACGGCGGGUGCUAACGUCCGUCGUGAAGAGGGAAACAACCCAGACCGCCAGCUAAGGUCCCAAAGUCAUGGUUAAGUGGGAAACGAUGUGGGAAGGCCCAGACAGCCAGGAUGUUGGCUUAGAAGCAGCCAUCAUUUAAAGAAAGCGUAAUAGCUCACUGGUCGAGUCGGCCUGCGCGGAAGAUGUAACGGGGCUAAACCAUGCACCGAAGCUGCGGCAGCGACGCUUAUGCGUUGUUGGGUAGGGGAGCGUUCUGUAAGCCUGUGAAGGUGGCCUGUGAGGGUUGCUGGAGGUAUCAGAAGUGCGAAUGCUGACAUAAGUAACGAUAAAGCGGGUGAAAAGCCCGCUCGCCGGAAGACCAAGGGUUCCUGUCCAACGUUAAUCGGGGCAGGGUGAGUCGACCCCUAAGGCGAGGCCGAAAGGCGUAGUCGAUGGGAAACGGGUUAAUAUUCCCGUACUUGGUGUUACUGCGAAGGGGGGACGGAGAAGGCUAUGUUGGCCGGGCGACGGUUGUCCCGGUUUAAGCGUGUAGGUGUGUGUUCCAGGUAAAUCCGGUUCACUUUAACACUGAGGCGUGAUGACGAGGCACUACGGUGCUGAAGCAACAAAUGCCCUGCUUCCAGGAAAAGCCUCUAAGCAUCAGGUAACAUCAAAUCGUACCCCAAACCGACACAGGUGGUCAGGUAGAGAAUACCAAGGCGCUUGAGAGAACUCGGGUGAAGGAACUAGGCAAAAUGGUGCCGUAACUUCGGGAGAAGGCACGCUGACACGUAGGUGAAGUGAUUUACUCACGGAGCUGAAGUCAGUCGAAGAUACCAGCUGGCUGCAACUGUUUAUUAAAAACACAGCACUGUGCAAACACGAAAGUGGACGUAUACGGUGUGACGCCUGCCCGGUGCCGGAAGGUUAAUUGAUGGGGUCAGCGCAAGCGAAGCUCCUGAUCGAAGCCCCGGUAAACGGCGGCCGUAACUAUAACGGUCCUAAGGUAGCGAAAUUCCUUGUCGGGUAAGUUCCGACCUGCACGAAUGGCGUAAUGAUGGCCAGGCUGUCUCCACCCGAGACUCAGUGAAAUUGAACUCGCUGUGAAGAUGCAGUGUACCCGCGGCAAGACGGAAAGACCCCGUGAACCUUUACUAUAGCUUGACACUGAACAUUGAGCCUUGAUGUGUAGGAUAGGUGGGAGGCUUUGAAGCGUGGACGCCAGUCUGCGUGGAGCCGACCUUGAAAUACCACCCUUUAAUGUUUGAUGUUCUAACGUGGACCCGUGAUCCGGGUUGCGGACAGUGUCUGGUGGGUAGUUUGACUGGGGCGGUCUCCUCCUAAAGAGUAACGGAGGAGCACGAAGGUUGGCUAAUCCUGGUCGGACAUCAGGAGGUUAGUGCAAUGGCAUAAGCCAGCUUGACUGCGAGCGUGACGGCGCGAGCAGGUGCGAAAGCAGGUCAUAGUGAUCCGGUGGUUCUGAAUGGAAGGGCCAUCGCUCAACGGAUAAAAGGUACUCCGGGGAUAACAGGCUGAUACCGCCCAAGAGUUCAUAUCGACGGCGGUGUUUGGCACCUCGAUGUCGGCUCAUCACAUCCUGGGGCUGAAGUAGGUCCCAAGGGUAUGGCUGUUCGCCAUUUAAAGUGGUACGCGAGCUGGGUUUAGAACGUCGUGAGACAGUUCGGUCCCUAUCUGCCGUGGGCGCUGGAGAACUGAGGGGGGCUGCUCCUAGUACGAGAGGACCGGAGUGGACGCAUCACUGGUGUUCGGGUUGUCAUGCCAAUGGCACUGCCCGGUAGCUAAAUGCGGAAGAGAUAAGUGCUGAAAGCAUCUAAGCACGAAACUUGCCCCGAGAUGAGUUCUCCCUGAGACUUAGAGUCUCCUGAAGGAACGUUGAAGACGACGACGUUGAUAGGCCGGGUGUGUAAGCGCAGCGAUGCGUUGAGCUAACCGGUACUAAUGAACCGUGAGGCUUAACCUU